rnacentral:lncRNA from 1 species
GCCCAACUAAUUAAAGGAAGAAGAACAAUUAUAUAUCGACUCCUGGAUAUGGAUAGUUUUUCUCGACUGCUUAUACCGUACAGAAACUAGACACGAAGAUAGCAGGAGACAUAACAAAGAAGAAACAAAAGGACGCGCACUCGGAAUUUCAUGUAUGGAAGACACUCUUCCGUCACAUUUCUUUUUUACUUCAACCAACAUUUCUCACUUUCAUUUUGUACUGUGCUCCCCCGUUUACCUCCCGGUAGAAAGUCACAAUAUCUCCACUUUUGAGGCCAGCAUGGCGAGCAAUGCCAUGCCAACCUCUUGUAAAUACAAGCUUUCCUGAUCUGGUGGAGCAGUGAAUUGUCACCGGGUCCGGUAAACGGGUGCCGGCAGAUGACUCAACUAUGGUGGACAAUUCUCGGUGUUCUAGGUUAGCAUCGCGUGGCAGCACCAAUCCCCUCUCAAGAUCAAUAGAGUUGAGUUGCUUUGUGAAGAUUUCCAUGGCAAUAUAAUGAGAAUUAUUGCUAUGAAAUAAUUAGGUUAAAGAAGGUUUUGUGUGUUUGUAGUGAAAGACCUCGAAGUUAUUUAUAGAGAAAUCAGUGAUGUUAAAGAAGGUUUUGUGUGUUUGUAGGUUAACUAGGUUGCGCGAAAUGUCUCGUUUCACUCUCCUUUUAUUAUUAAUUGACGUAUGAACUUAUUCCACACAUAAUUGUUCUAGAAACAAUUUAAUUCUCUGAAUUCCAAUGUUUUGUUGGUCAAUGCUUUCAGCACGAAAAAUCUCUAUAGUUUGAACAAGCAAGAUCUUAUCAGCAAUUAUCUCAAGUUUUUCUGAUAGAGAUUUGGCCCUUUUCAGUGAGUGAUGGAGCAUUCCAGACAUUCAUUAAUUUCGCGCCCUACGAAAGGUUAUGUUCUUACGGAAACUUGGCAAUUUAAGUGCAUGCACGGAUACGCACUAUUUUCUCCCAGCUAACAAUCUUUUUUUAUAUAUAAUAAAUAAAUAUUAUUGGACGUUCAUCGUUUGUGUCGACGAUUGAUAGAUCGAUAAAUGACAUAGAAUUAAGAUAGAAUGAGGUUAGAACGAUUUAUGCACCAAAGGUAGAUGGUAAGUGUUUUGAAUCAGUCAUUUGCUUCCAGCUAUAUAUAUAUCCACCGACCAUUUAGACAUGAAUUGUGAAAUGGUCCGCUGUCAGUCAGCAAUUCAACUAUUUAUUGGUUUAUCAACACUUUUUCUGAUAAAAAUUAUAUGAAUUUUCAAUUAAACUAUUUUUAUAUAUGCCAGCUCUUUAAUUUCUGCAUGCUAUGACAGCGAUGUAUUAUACGAGGUAGUGCGCUACCGCUCAAAAUCUUUUCACGUUUAUAAGGGCAUAAAUUUAUUUGAUUGUACAUACUAGUUAAAAAAUACUCUAAUUAAUAUCAUAUUAAAUAAUCAUCAAAAGAUUAGGUUUUAAAUUUGAUUUAUAUGAUAAUAAUGUAUUAACUCGUUAAUGGGGUUAUAUAAAGAUGCCAUCCUUUUGUUUUUCCUUAUCCAUCGCGCGCAACAAAUAGAGAAAUUUGAUCAAAUAUCACCUUUUUUUCUUGUUUCAAUAUAAUUGAUGAUUAUAGAUGCUGUUAUCCAUUUUUUGAUCCCCACACAAUGAAGAAAAAACAUCAAAAAAAGAUUAUCGAAAGAAAUCCAAAAAAAUAUAUUACAAUGAGAAGAGGACACAGGAACGCCCGGAAAAUAGCCAAAAAUUGGUUGAGGAAGUUCAAAAAAUAAAAAGAUUAAAAUUUGACAAUAUAUUUUUUACUGAUGAAGACUCUAUUGACAAAGAAAAUUCAAUUUUCAAUUCGAGGACGAAAAGUCCAAAAUCAGAUGUUUAAGGACUCAAUUGCAUUUUGUUGAAAGAUUAAUUGAGUUUAUGAAGGGUUUGAUUGUAAGAAAAAAUAAUUUUUAAGUCAAUUUAGGCUUUAAUUGAAAGAAAUUAAAGUUCGGGGGUCGAAUUACAAUUUUUAAGAGUUAAUUUGGUCAAAUCAGGGGCUUAAGUGCAUAAAUAUUAAAUUUUGAUGGGCAAUUAGGGACUUAAUCGAAGAAAUCCAAAACCAAGAACCAAACUGAAAAAUAUGUGUAAAUAUAAGGGCUGAAAUUGACGGAAUCAGGGGUCAAAUUAAAAAAAAUUAGAAGUUAGUUUAUCAAUUAAGGGUCAAAAUGCACAAAUUUAAAACCAAUGAUCAAAAUGGAAAAGGCGGCCAACUUCAGAGCUGACAUUUGGAUUUGGUAAGGAUGCAAUUGAAUUGAUUAUUAAAAUCAAAAUCUCAAUUGCGUACUUGAUUGAAUAAAUAAAAAAUUAAAGACUGAUUUGGAAAAAAACUCUUUUUUGCACCUUUUUCUUUUAAAUGAAAUGACGCAUUUUGUAAAAAAAACAGCGUCGUUUCAUUCAUUCUUCAUUGAAAAAAAAACUGCAAAUGAUGUCGUUUUGAUGGCAUUGUUUGUCAUCUUCUUCCACUUGACUCGCAAUGGCAAGGGAAGAAGGUUUUUCUUUCCCUCCUUUGUAGCGCCUGUUUCUCUCUCUCUCUCUCUUAGAAACCCAAAAAAACAAGCACGACCCACACUCCUCUCAUGGCCUCUAUAUAUUGAGACGAAAAAACAGAGGGGACAAGCCUUGUGGAUGGCCUUGGGGAAGCUGCCCAAUGGCCGCCCAGCCACCCUACCCAUUCAACACGAUUGGACAGUGGUAGGGUGGCUCUCUCCCCCCUAUAAAUACUCCUUUAUCAGGCGGUAGAGAGUAUGGAUCGAGAGGUGAAUGGGUUUGAUUGUUAAUGCUAACUAGAGCAACUAGUGAGGAUGGAGAGGUGCCUGAGGUUGAAGGAGAUGAAGACGUGGUCAGUGGGGCUGUUGUGGGGGAGAUGGAGACUGGUUUGGGAGGAAGAGAGGGUAGUGGCGGCUAGGUUUAGGUUUUAAGAUCAUAGAUCUAGAGUUUUUUCUUUAGGGUAUUUUUUUAUGGCUCCCCCUCCUUUUUGUGUGUGUGUGGACACCAAUUUAUAGGUGGAAAAUUGUCUUCUUUUUCAAUUGCUUGGGUCCAAAAUUUGUAUUUUGGUUUUUUAGAAAAAUAGCAAUAUUAAUAUCGAUUCAAUGAGAAAAAUCAAUGAUUUUGAAAAAGUUAAGAUUAGAGAGAUAGUCUUUGUAUAAUUGUGAUGGAUGAUUGAUAAACCAACCAUCCCUUUGUAUUUAUACCUUUAGGGUUGUAUACAAUACAAUGGUGGAAUGUACUACACAUGAUAACUAUCCCUAUAUAUAAUGUAUUUACAUAUAUGUGGACUCUUUCUUUAAUACACCCCGUCAAGCUGAAGGUGGAGAUUCCACCCGAAGCUUGGAUCUAAAAUAAGCAAAUGAGACUGGAGGGAGAGGCUUGGUAAGAACAUCCGUGAGUUGAUCCUUUGAAGAGAUGAAUCGUACCUGAAUUUAUCUCUUAGCAACGCGAUCAUGGACAAAAUGAUAAUCAACUUCAACAGGUUUAGUACGAGCGUGGAACAACGGAUUGGCAGAUAAGAAAGUGGCCCCUAAGUUAUCACACCAUAACAUAGUCAUGGACGAAGUGGAAAUCCAAAGUUCCGCCAAUAAAGAACGAAUCCAUAAAAUUUCAACUGUACCAUCAACUAAGGCUUUGUAUUCUGGUUUUGUAGAAGAUCUAGCAACAGUGCGUUGUUUCCCGGAUUUCCAUGAGAUAGGUGUAGAACCAAGGUAUACAAGAUAACCACCUGUUGAUUUACCUGCCCAGUAAGCAUCUAUGAAACCAUGAAGAGUCAAAAGAGAGUCUCGAGUAAUGUGCAGACCAUAGGUUGUUGUAGCCUGCAGGUAACGUAGGAUACGUUUAACAGCAGCUCAAUGAUCAUCAGUAGGGGCAUGCAUAAAUUGACAUACUUUGUUGACUGCAUAGCAAAUAUCAGGUCGAGUGAAUGUAAGAUAUCGCAGUGCUCCAACAAUAUGUCGAUAUCGUGUCGGAUCAGAGUGAAGAGUACCAGGCACAAUUCCUAGUUUAGAGGAGGUAGACAGAGGAGUAUCAACCGGUUUACAGGAAGCCAUACCUACUCGUUGGAUAAUAUCGAGUGCAUACUUGUGUUGACUUAACAAGAUACCCAUAGCUGUGGGUUUAACUUCAAUCCCCAAGAAGAAAUGAACAGAACCCAAAUCCCGAAACUUAAAUUCUGUUUGCAGUAAAGUAAUCAAUCUAUGAAGCAAGGCUGAGUUACUCCCGGUCAAUAAAAUAUCAUCCACAUACACAAGCAGAUAAAUCAUGGCACCAUUGAGAGAGAGAAUAAACAGAGAAGUGUCAACCUUGGAUGCCAGAAAUCCAAUGGAAAGGAGGAACUCGCUCAACCUGUUGUACCAAGCUCGAGGUGCUUGUUUCAAGCCAUACAAAGAUUUAUGAAGACGACACACAUGAGAUGACAUGACAGAAUCAGCAAACCCCGGUGGUUGUGCCAUGUAUACCUCCUCUUGAAGAAUGCCAUUUAAGAAAGCAUUAUGAACAUCCAACUGGUGAAUAUUCCAACCAUACGAGAGUGAGCACUAGACUUUUAUUUUUGGAUGCUUUCUCCAACUGGAUUUUUUUUUACUUGCCUUUUUUUUUUGGGUGCGUGAGGUGUGCUGUGUGUUUUGGGGGGUUUGGGUAUUUCAAGGGCUAGAUUUAUGUUGGGUUUAUGUGGAGAGUUUGUUUAGUUGUGGAAAUGAGUUUUCGUCUGUUAUUGGGUUGCUUACAAUUCUCGAUUAUUAUUAAAAAAAAAAAAAAAAUGCCACGCUAGCCACCGUUUGCAUAUCAAUCUCACCAUGCAUGGUUGUGUUGUCUCCAGAUAGCUGACAAUAUAUAAACAAUGAUAGAGUUAUGGUCUGAAAAUUAACAAUGCAUUCUUCAAAUGAUCCAAACUAAUCUUCAAUACAAAUAGACAGCUGUACCAUGACAGGUCUGCCAAGAAUCACAAAAAAAAAAAAAAAAGGGUAAAGAAAAGUAGCGAAGUGGCCCCACAUAAUCUAGACCUGGUUAAGCCGCAACAUGCAUGGGAAAUAUUUUUUAAUUUUUAUAUAUAAAAUCACAAUUCACUCAAGUGAAUGAAUUUAUGGAUUAAACUAUUAAAUUAAUUGGAUUUAAGUAGAUAAUUCUUACGGAACUAUCAAAUUCAAGAAGCAGAGGGGAUUAGUUAUUCCUAGAGAUGGGAUAACACAGCACUGCCGUUUUGUUUUCAAUGUAGUGUAGUAGGAGCAGACAAAGCACGAGCAAAAAUGGCAAAUCAUUAGGUGAUCAUGGAAGACUAAUAGGAACACACAAGUGAUCAUUAUACAUAUAAAAAAACGAACUAAACAUUCUUCAACUGACACUGCGACGUGGCCCAACUAAUUAAAGGAAGAAGAACAAUUAUAUAUCGACUCCUGGAUAUGGAUAGUUUUUCUCGACUGCUUAUACCGUACAGAAACUAGACACGAAGAUAGCAGGAGACAUAACAAAGAAGAAACAAAAGGACGCGCACUCGGAAUUUCAUGUAUGGAAGACAGUCUUCCGUCACAUUUCUUUUUUACUUCAACCAACAUUUCUCACUUUCAUUUUGUACUGUGCUCCCCCGUUUACCUCCCGGUAGAAAGUCACAAUAUCUCCACUUUUGAGGCCAGCAUGGCUAGCAAUGUCGUGCCAACCUCUUGUAAAUACAAGCUUUCCUGAUCUGGUGCAGCAGUGAAUUGUCACCGGGCCCGGUAAAGGGGUGCCGGCAGAUGACUCAACUAUGGUGGACAGUUCUAUGGUUCCAUGGAAAGGUUGAAGGCGUUCUAGGUUAGAAUCGCGUGGUAGCACCAAUUCUCUCUGAAGAUCAAUAGAGGUGAGUUUCUUUGUGAACAUUUCCAUGGCAAUAUAAUGAGAAUUAUUGCUAUGAAAUAAUUAGGUUAAAGAAGGUUUUGUGUGUUUGUAGUGAAAGACCUCGAAGGUAUUUAUAGAGAAAUCAGUGAUGUUAUGAUAAGCA